AGAUAUUGAAUAAAUGAUUAAAUAAUUUCGUAAUGAAUGAAUGACACACACAAGAGGCUAAGCAUAGAUAGCACUUAUGUCUGUCAAACUCUCUGGUUUACAAAACACUUCACAAGCCUUAUCUCAUCCUGACUUUACAGGUGCAGACAUGAAGGCUCUGAGACAUCCAGUGGACUCUUAAGUCCCAACCAGCGGCAAAUGGUAUGGCUCCAUUCUUACAAACUGGCCAGACCUCAGCGUAUCCUGAUGGCCCACGUCUGUGUACCUCAAUCAAGCUCUCACCACUUCCUUGGCGCUGGG